CCUACGGGGGGCUGCAGUGAGGAAUAUUGGUCAAUGGGCGGAAGCCUGAACCAGCCAUGCCGCGUGCGGGACGAAGGCGCUACGCGUCGUAAACCGCUUUUGUCCGGGGGUAACCGUGGGGACGCGUCCCCACCUGCAAGUACCGGACGAAUAAGGGUCGGCUAACUCCGUGCCAGCAGCCGCGGUAAUACGGAGGACCCGAGCGUUAUCCGGAUUCAUUGGGUUUAAAGGGUGCGCAGGCGGCCCGGUAAGUCAGCGGUGAAAGGCCCACGCUC
rnacentral:rRNA from 1 species